UUGGACGACGGGCCAGUCGACGCAAUCGAACAUAAGCUCAAGGUCCGGCAACCUUCCUGGAUACCUGUUCAACAUCUGUGAUAUCCCCCAUAGAGUGAACACAUCCCUCGUCUGAAACGAUUUCUUGAAAGUCUCCAAAUCUUCAUGGAUCCACCGGAAAUAAUCAGGACAAACUGGGCUCGACGGUGAACUGUCAUCGUUUUCCCUCUGAAAUGUCUCUGAGAAGCUUACGGGACAACUUCGAGUCCGGUUUCCGGCGGAGCAAUUAAGUGGGAUUUCAAUUCUCUGAGGAUGCUUAUGAAUUGCUAUUGGGUUUUCCACUAUUUUCUGCUUCGAAGCACCUCUAAUGGACUGCAAAAGAGAAACGACUAUCAGUACCCAUGGCUGUGAAUAGGGAUGGGCUUGGUGAAAAAGAGAGAUGUGUCAGGGUAUGUGAGACAGGGGGUGACUGCCCAGAAUCCCAGAUCCAGAUUGUUAGAUCACACGGAUCCACCUGGCCUAGAAAUACUCUGUGUCAGAUAAUACUAUAAACAACAUUAAUAGAUCUUUACUCUUU